GAUGAACGCUGGCGGCGUGCCUGAUACAUGCAAGUCGAGCGAACUGAUUAGAAGCUUGCUUCUAUGACGUUAGCGGCGGACGGGUGAGUAACACGUGGGCAACCUGCCUGUAAGACUGGGAUAACUUCGGGAAACCGAAGCUAAUACCGGAUAGGAUCUUCUCCUUCAUGGGAGAUGAUUGAAAGAUGGUUUCGGCUAUCACUUACAGAUGGGCCCGCGGUGCAUUAGCUAGUUGGUGAGGUAACGGCUCACCAAGGCAACGAUGCAUAGCCGACCUGAGAGGGGGAUCGGCCACACUGGGACUGAGACACGGCCCAGACUCCUACGGGAGGCAGCAGUAGGGAAUCUUCCGCAAUGGACGAAAGUCUGACGGAGCAACGCCGCGUGAGUGAUGAAGGCUUUCGGGUCGUAAAACUCUGUUGUUAGGGAAGAACAAGUACGAGAGUAACUGCUCGUACCUUGACGGUACCUGACCAGAAAGCCACGGCUAACUACGUGCCAGCCGCCGCAGUAAAAC
rnacentral:rRNA from 1 species